GCCGGGUGUGGUGGUGCAUGCCUGUAGUCCCAGCUACUUGGGAGGCUGAGGCAGGAGAAUUGUUUGAACCCGGCAGGCGGAGGUUGCAGUGAGCCAAGAUCGCUCCACUGCACUCCAGCCUGGCAACAGAGCAAGACUCCGUCUCAAAAAUAAAUAAAUAAAUAAAUAAAUGAGUGAACUGGCCCAGGUCAGAAAGAGAGCAGCUCAAAACUCCCAUGCUGAUUGAUCAGUAGUGGGAUCAUGCCUGUGAAUACCCACUGCACUCCUGCCUAGGUGACAGAGACCCUCUCUCU
rnacentral:sRNA from 1 species